rnacentral:rRNA from 1 species
GACGAACGCUGGCGGCGUGCUUAACACAUGCCAGUCGAACGGAAAGGCCCUGCUUUUGUGGGGUGCUCGAGUGGCGAACGGGUGAGUAACACGUGAGUAACCUGCCCUUGACUUUGGGAUAACUUCAGGAAACUGGGGCUAAUACCGGAUAGGAGCUCCUGCUGCAUGGUGGGGGUUGGAAAUUUUCGGCGGUUGGGGAUGGACUCGCGGCUUAUCAGCUUGUUGGUGGGGUAGUGGCUUACCAAGGCUUUGACGGGUAGCCGGCCUGAGAGGGUGACCGGCCACAUUGGGACUGAGAUACGGCCCAGACUCCUACGGGAGGCAGCAGUGGGGAAUAUUGCACAAUGGGCGGAAGCCUGAUGCAGCAACGCCGCGUGCGGGAUGACGGCCUUCGGGUUGUAAACCGCUUUCGCCUGUGACGAAGCGUGAGUGACGGUAAUGGGUAAAGAAGCACCGGCUAACUACGUG